UACGUAGGCAGCAAGCGUUGUUCGGAGUUACUGGGCGUAAAGCGUGCGCAGGCGGUUUUGGAAGCCAGGUGUGAAAUCCCCGGGCUCAACCUGGGAAUGGCAUUUGGGACUGCAAGGCUGGAGUGCGGCAGAGGAGACUGGAAUUCAUGGUGUAGCAGUGAAAUGCGUAGAUAUCAUGAGGAAUACCAGAGGCGAAGGCGGCUACCUGGACAAUUGCUGACGCUCAGGCACGAAAGCGUGGGGAGCAAAAGGG
rnacentral:rRNA from 1 species